rnacentral:rRNA from 1 species
AAAGCGUGCGCAGGCGGUUUUGUAAGACUGUCGUGAAAUCCCCGGGCUCAACCUGGGAAUGGCGAUGGUGACUGCAAGGCUAGAGUUUGGCAGAGGGGGGUAGAAUUCCACGUGUAGCAGUGAAAUGCGUAGAUAUGUGGAGGAACACCGAUGGCGAAGGCAGCCCCUUGGGUCAAAACUGACGCUCAUGCACGAAAGCGUGGGGAGCAAACAGGAUUAGAUACCCGUGU